rnacentral:rRNA from 1 species
ACGGGAGGCAGCAGUGGGGAAUAUUGCACAAUGGGGGAAACCCUGAUGCAGCGACGCCGCGUGAGUGAAGAAGUAUUUCGGUAUGUAAAGCUCUAUCAGCAGGGAAGAAAAUGACGGUACCUGACUAAGAAGCCCCGGCUAACUACGUGCCAGCAGCCGCGGUAAUACGUAGGGGGCAAGCGUUAUCCGGAUUUACUGGGUGUAAAGGGAGCGUAGACGGUCUGGCAAGUCUGAUGUGAAAGGCAGGGGCUCAACUCCUGGACUGCAUUGGAAACUGUCAGUCUUGAGUGUCGGAGAGGUAAGCGGAAUUCCUAGUGUAGCGGUGAAAUGCGUAGAUAUUAGGAGGAACACCAGUGGCGAAGGCGGCUUGCUGGACUGUUACUGACACUGAGGCACGAAAGCGUGGGGAGCAAACAGGGUUAGAUACCCUGGUA